GACAGAGGGUGCAAACGUUGUUCGGAUUUACUGGGCGUAAAGCGCGUGUAGGCGGCUUUGCAAGUCGGAUGUGAAAGCUCACGGCUCAACCGUGGAAGUGCAUCCGAAACUGCAUGGCUUGAGUCUCGGAGAGGAAGGUGGAAUGCUUGGUGUAGAGGUGAAAUUCGUAGAUAUCAAGCAGAACACCUGCGGCGAAGGCGGCCUUCUGGACGAUGACUGACGCUGAGACGCGAAAGCGUGGGGAGCAAACAGG
rnacentral:rRNA from 1 species